CAAACUAUAACCAAAACCUCCAUUUACACCACCAAAUAAAAAUCUGAAUUUCCAUUCAUAUGCCUUAUUUUUGUUGAGUACCCAUGAAUGGCCCUAAAUACCCACUCUAUUCCUCCUUUAAUUUUAGGUUGUCGUACUGUUUUUCCCCAAUAUCGUCUUCUUACAGUCAGAAUCUGCAUAUACUUCCUUCAUGAAAGUUGUAGAUCGUGAAAAGUUAUUGAAUUUAGACCCAAAGAUCAUCUGAUUCGGGGUUCGGAGUAAAGAGUUAGACCCUCUAUUAGAAAGGAAAAGGGAUAUUACAAGCCUCCCCCGGCUAUCAAGUAUAAUAAUCGCGACUCGAGGUAUGGCAAAGCGUAUAUAUGCAAGGGUGAUAUUAUGGAUUACGUUGAAGUGACUCUACAUAUAUUUCGGAUAUUUAGAAUACUAUGUAUUAUGAGUAAUCAUUAUUACUCUAGUUGAGAGUUUGUAUAUUUUAGAGACCAUUUUAAGGCUAUUAUAUUAUUUAUGGGCCCAUAACCCACAGCUUAAGUUCCGUUUCCGCUGACAAUCAUGAGUAAUAAAGGUUAUGUAUUUUCGG